rnacentral:rRNA from 1 species
CAUAGCGUAAUGAAGCGAACCGGGGGAACUGAAACAUCUAAGUACCCCGAGGAAAAGAAAUCAACCGAGAUUCCCCCAGUAGCGGCGAGCGAACGGGGAGCAGCCCAGAGUCUGAAUCAGCUUGUGUGUUAGUGGAACGGUCUGGAAAGUCCGACGGUACAGGGUGAUAGUCCCGUACACCAAAAUGCACAGGUUGUGAACUCGAAGAGUAGGGCGGGACACGUGGUAUCCUGUCUGAAUAUGGGGGGACCAUCCUCCAAGGCUAAAUACUCCUGACUGACCGAUAGUGAACCAGUACCGUGAGGGAAAGGCGAAAAGAACCCCGGCGAGGGGAGUGAAAAAGAACCUGAAACCGUGUACGUACAAGCAGUGGGAGCCUCUUUAUGGGGUGACUGCGUACCUUUUGUAUAAUGGGUCAGCGACUUAUAUUCUGUAGCAAGGUUAACCGUAUAGGGGAGCCGAAGGGAAACCGAGUCUUAACUGGGCGUUAAGUUGCAGGGUAUAGACCCGAAACCCGGUGAUCUAGCCAUGGGCAGGUUGAAGGUUGGGUAACACUAACUGGAGGACCGAACCGACUAAUGUUGAAAAAUUAGCGGAUGACUUGUGGCUGGGGGUGAAAGGCCAAUCAAACCGGGAGAUAGCUGGUUCUCCCCGAAAGCUAUUUAGGUAGCGCCUCGUGAACUCAUCUUCGGGGGUAGAGCACUGUUUCGGCUAGGGGGUCAUCCCGACUUACCAACCCGAUGCAAACUGCGAAUACCGAAGAAUGUUAUCACGGGAGACACACGGCGGGUGCUAACGUCCGUCGUGAAGAGGGAAACAACCCAGACCGCCAGCUAAGGUCCCAAAGUCAUGGUUAAGUGGGAAACGAUGUGGGAAGGCACAGACAGCCAGGAUGUUGGCUUAGAAGCAGCCAUCAUUUAAAGAAAGCGUAAUAGCUCACUGGUCGAGUCGGCCUGCGCGGAAGAUGUAACGGGGCUAAACCAUGCACCGAAGCUGCGGCAGCGACACUAUGUGUUGUUGGGUAGGGGAGCGUU